CUGAAAUAAGCAAGAUUACCCGCUGAACUUAAGCAUAUCAGUAAGCGGAGGAAAAGAAAAUAACAAUGAUUACCUCAGUAGCGGCGAGUGAAGAGGUACAAGCCCAAGAUGUUAAUCCGUAGUAAGGCUAUGGAAUUGUAAUCUAUAGAAUUUCUCAGAAGGUAUUGAUUCGUCAUAAGUUCUUUGGAACAAGACACCANAGAGGGUGAAAGUCCCGUCUUUGGAUGAGUCAAGCCGUAUGAGGGGUUUCUAAGAGUCGGGUAGUUUGGGAAUGCUGCCCUAAGNGGGAGAUAAACUUCUCCUAAGGCUAAAUAUAAGAUAGGAGACCGAUAGCAUACAAGUACUGCGAAGGAAAGAUGAAAAGAACUUUGAAAAGAGGGUUAAAAGACUUGAAAUCGUUGAAAAGGAAGCAGUAAAAGAGAAAUUAUAGCNUGCNAAUUAAGCUAUUAGCGUAAGCUU
rnacentral:rRNA from 1 species